CUGGACAAUGAUCGCGCCGGUGUCCCGAAAGGGACUUAAAAGGGAACGCGGUGCGGAAGGGGAACCCCUUCUUAAUCCGCGGCUGUCCCUGCAACUGUAAGCGGUGAGCGCGAUGCAUAUGCGCGGUGGAACAAGGUUUCCGCCGCCAGCCACUGGGCCGGACGCUAAAUCCUGCGAGGCCUGGGAAGGCCUUGCAUCGAUGCGAUGACCCGCAAGCCAGGAGACCUGCCGGCGUCUGGUCGCUCUU
rnacentral:ncRNA from 2 species